rnacentral:rRNA from 1 species
AGCUCCGUAACACGUGGUCAAACUACCCUCUGGACCGGGAUAUCCUCGGGAAACUGAGGUCAAUCCCAGAUACUGCUUUCAUGUUGGAACACAGAAAGUCGGAAACGGUCCGCCGCCGGAGGACGUGACUGCGGCCGAUUAGGUAGACGGUGGGGUAACGGCCCACCGUGCCGAUAAUCGGUACGGGUUGUGAGAGCAAGAACCCGGAGACGGUAUCUGAGACAAGAUACCGGGCCCUACGGGGCGCAGCAGGCGCGAAACCUUUACACUGCACGCCAGUGCGAUAAGGGGACCCCGAGUGCGAGGGCAUACAGUCCUCGCUUUUCGUGACCGUAAGAAGGUCUCAGAAUAAGAGCUGGGCAAGACCGGUGCCAGCCGCCGCGGUAAUACCGGCAGCUCGAGUGAUAGCCACUCUUAUUGGGCCUAAAGCGUCCGUAGCCGGCCGAACAGGUCCGUCGGGAAAUCCACCCGCUCAACGGGUGGACGUCCGGCGGAAACCAGUCGGCUUGGGGCCGGGAGACCAGAGAGGUACGUCCGGGGUAGGAGUGAAAUCCUGUAAUCCUGGACGGACCGCCGGUAGCGAAAGCGUCUCUGGAGAACGGACCCGACGGUGAGGGACGAAAGCUUGGGUCUCGAACCGGAUUAGAUACCCGGGUAGUCCAAGCUGUAAACGAUGCUCGCUAGGUGUGGCGUUGGCUACGAGCCAGCGCUGUGCCGUAGGGAAGCCGAGAAGCGAGCCGCCUGGGAAGUACGUCCGCAAGGAUGAAACUUAAAGGAAUUGGCGGGGGAGCACUACAACCGGAGGAGCCUGCGGUUUA